rnacentral:rRNA from 1 species
GAUUUCUGGUUUAAUGCACCUGGCCCGCGGCCACUAGGCUUUUUACCAUCCUUCUAGAAAACGUUUCUGCCAUUCACUUGGUGGGAUCGCGAUCUAGAUCUUUUACUUUGAAAAAAUUAGAGUGUUUAAAGCAGGCUUUUGCUAUGAAUACAUUAGCAUGGAAUAAUAAUCUAGGACUUCGGUUCUAUUUUGUUGGUUUCUAUAACUGAAGUAAUGAUUGAUAGGGAUAGUUGGGGGUGCUAGUAUUGGCCGGCCAGAGGUGAAAUUCUUGGAUUCGGUCAAGACUAACUUAUGCGAAAGCAUU